rnacentral:rRNA from 1 species
AUUGAACGCUGGCGGCAUGCCUUACACAUGCAAGUCGAACGGUAACAGGUCUUCGGAUGCUGACGAGUGGCGAACGGGUGAGUAAUACAUCGGAACGUGCCUAGUAGUGGGGGAUAACUACUCGAAAGAGUGGCUAAUACCGCAUGAGAUCUACGGAUGAAAGCAGGGGAUCGCAAGCCCUUGUGCUACUAGAGCGGCCGAUGGCAGAUUAGGUAGUUGGUGGGAUAAAAGCUUACCAAGCCGACGAUCUGUAGCUGGUCUGAGAGGACGAUCAGCCACACUGGGACUGAGACACGGCCCAGACUCCUAUGGGAGGCAGCAGUGGGGAAUUUUGGACAAUGGGCGCAAGCCUGAUCCAGCAAUGCCGCGUGCAGGAUGAAGGCCUUCGGGUUGUAAACUGCUUUUGUACGGAACGAAAAGCCCUGGGUUAAUACCCUGGGGUCAUGACGGUACCGUAAGAAUAAGCACCGGCUAACUACGUGCCAGCCGCCGCAGUAACAC